rnacentral:other from 1 species
AUUUCUCUGAGAUGAUUGAAAGCGGGACAGUCACCAGAGCCUAUAUUUCAUACCACAAGAAUGUGGCGCUCCACUGUUGGUGAGCAUGCUCGGUUCGUCAGAGAAGCCUUAAAUCCGUGACGACACAUUCACCUUGAACCAAGGGUUCAAGGGUUACAGCCUGCGGGGGCAUCUCGGAGAUUCC